rnacentral:lncRNA from 1 species
GGCCUCAAGGCUGUUGAACCACGCCCGCGCUGGUCCCGAGAGCGUCGUUGGAAACACUUUACACAUUAAGGCAUCUGACAGAGUUUGCAACUCCAUGAAGGUCUUAUAGUUCAUGACGUGCUCCCUCGGGUUACCAGCUCCGUCAUAGGCCGCCAUUGAUGGCAUCAUAAACUUCUUAGGGACAGUCUCUUGCUGCACCCACUUUGAGAAAGGGG